GGUUAAGCGACUAAGCGUACACGGUGGAUGCCCUGGCAGUCAGAGGCGAUGAAGGACGUGCUAAUCUGCGAAAAGCGUCGGUAAGGUGAUAUGAACCGUUAUAACCGGCGAUGUCCGAAUGGGGAAACCCAGUGCAAUUCGUUGCACUAUCGUUAACUGAAUACAUAGGUUAACGAGGCGAACCGGGGGAACUGAAACAUCUAAGUACCCCGAGGAAAAGAAAUCAACCGAGAUUCCCCCAGUAGCGGCGAGCGAACGGGGAGCAGCCCAGAGUCUGAAUCAGCUUGUGUGUUAGUGGAACGGUCUGGAAAGUCCGACGGUACAGGGUGAUAGUCCCGUACACCAAAAUGCACAGGUUGUGAACUCGAAGAGUAGGGCGGGACACGUGGUAUCCUGUCUGAAUAUGGGGGGACCAUCCUCCAAGGCUAAAUACUCCUGACUGACCGAUAGUGAACCAGUACCGUGAGGGAAAGGCGAAAAGAACCCCGGCGAGGGGAGUGAAAAAGAACCUGAAACCGUGUACGUACAAGCAGUGGGAGCACCUUCGGGUGUGACUGCGUACCUUUUGUAUAAUGGGUCAGCGACUUAUAUUCUGUAGCAAGGUUAACCGUAUAGGGGAGCCGCAGGGAAACCGAGUCUUAACUGGGCGUUAAGUUGCAGGGUAUAGACCCGAAACCCGGUGAUCUAGCCAUGGGCAGGUUGAAGGUUGGGUAACACUAACUGGAGGACCGAACCGACUAAUGUUGAAAAAUUAGCGGAUGACUUGUGGCUGGGGGUGAAAGGCCAAUCAAACCGGGAGAUAGCUGGUUCUCCCCGAAAGCUAUUUAGGUAGCGCCUCGUGAACUCAUCUUCGGGGGUAGAGCACUGUUUCGGCUAGGGGGUCAUCCCGACUUACCAACCCGAUGCAAACUACGAAUACCGAAGAAUGUUAUCACGGGAGACACACGGCGGGUGCUAACGUCCGUCGUGAAGAGGGAAACAACCCAGACCGCCAGCUAAGGUCCCAAAGUCAUGGUUAAGUGGGAAACGAUGUGGGAAGGCACAGACAGCCAGGAUGUUGGCUUAGAAGCAGCCAUCAUUUAAAGAAAGCGUAAUAGCUCACUGGUCGAGUCGGCCUGCGCGGAAGAUGUAACGGGGCUAAACCAUGCACCGAAGCUGCGGCAGCGACACUAUGUGUUGUUGGGUAGGGGAGCGUUCUGUAAGCCUGCGAAGGUGUGCUGUGAGGCAUGCUGGAGGUAUCAGAAGUGCGAAUGCUGACAUAAGUAACGAUAAAGCGGGUGAAAAGCCCGCUCGCCGGAAGACCAAGGGUUCCUGUCCAACGUUAAUCGGGGCAGGGUGAGUCGACCCCUAAGGCGAGGCCGAAAGGCGUAGUCGAUGGGAAACAGGUUAAUAUUCCUGUACUUGGUGUUACUGCGAAGGGGGGACGGAGAAGGCUAUGUUAGCCGGGCGACGGUUGUCCCGGUUUAAGCAUGUAGGCUGGUUGUCCAGGCAAAUCCGGAUAAUCAAGGCUGAGGUGUGAUGACGAGGCACUACGGUGCUGAAGUAACAAAUGCCCUGCUUCCAGGAAAAGCCUCUAAGCAUCAGGUAACAUCAAAUCGUACCCCAAACCGACACAGGUGGUCAGGUAGAGAAUACCAAGGCGCUUGAGAGAACUCGGGUGAAGGAACUAGGCAAAAUGGUGCCGUAACUUCGGGAGAAGGCACGCUGGUGUGUAGGUGAAGCCCCUGCGGGUGGAGCUGAGACCAGUCGAAGAUACCAGCUGGCUGCAACUGUUUAUUAAAAACACAGCACUGUGCAAACACGAAAGUGGACGUAUACGGUGUGACGCCUGCCCGGUGCCGGAAGGUUAAUUGAUGGGGUUAUCCGUAAGGAGAAGCUCUUGAUCGAAGCCCCGGUAAACGGCGGCCGUAACUAUAACGGUCCUAAGGUAGCGAAAUUCCUUGUCGGGUAAGUUCCGACCUGCACGAAUGGCGUAAUGAUGGCCAGGCUGUCUCCACCCGAGACUCAGUGAAAUUGAACUCGCUGUGAAGAUGCAGUGUACCCGCGGCAAGACGGAAAGACCCCGUGAACCUUUACUAUAGCUUGACACUGAACAUUGAGCCUUGAUGUGUAGGAUAGGUGGGAGGCUUUGAAGCGUGGACGCCAGUCUGCGUGGAGCCAACCUUGAAAUACCACCCUUUAAUGUUUGAUGUUCUAACGUUGGCCCCUGACCGGGGUUGCGGACAGUGUCUGGUGGGUAGUUUGACUGGGGCGGUCUCCUCCCAAAGCGUAACGGAGGAGCACGAAGGUUAGCUAAUCCUGGUCGGACAUCAGGAGGUUAGUGCAAUGGCAUAAGCUAGCUUGACUGCGAGCGUGACGGCGCGAGCAGGUGCGAAAGCAGGUCAUAGUGAUCCGGUGGUUCUGAAUGGAAGGGCCAUCGCUCAACGGAUAAAAGGUACUCCGGGGAUAACAGGCUGAUACCGCCCAAGAGUUCAUAUCGACGGCGGUGUUUGGCACCUCGAUGUCGGCUCAUCACAUCCUGGGGCUGAAGUAGGUCCCAAGGGUAUGGCUGUUCGCCAUUUAAAGUGGUACGCGAGCUGGGUUUAGAACGUCGUGAGACAGUUCGGUCCCUAUCUGCCGUGGGCGCUGGAGAAUUGAGGGGGGCUGCUCCUAGUACGAGAGGACCGGAGUGGACGCAUCACUGGUGUUCGGGUUGUCAUGCCAAUGGCACUGCCCGGUAGCUAAAUGCGGAAGAGAUAAGUGCUGAAAGCAUCUAAGCACGAAACUUGCCCCGAGAUGAGUUCUCCCUGAGACUUUAAGUCUCCUGAAGGAACGUUGAAGACGACGACGUUGAUAGGCCGGGUGUGUAAGCGCAGCGAUGCGUUGAGCUAACCGGUACUAAUGAACCGUGAGGCUUAACCUU
rnacentral:rRNA from 1 species